UACAUUAGACUACCCCGUACGUCCAGCCGUAAACUAUGCGCGUUAGGUGUAUCGGUGACCACGAGUCACCGAGGUGCCGAAGGGAAACCGUGAAACGUGCCGCCUGGGAAGUACGGUCGCAAGGCUGAAACUUAAAGGAAUUGGCGGGGGAGCACAACAACGGGUGGAGCCUGCGGUUUAAUUGGACUCAACGCCGGACAACUCACCGGGGACGACAGCAAUAUGUAGGCCAGGCUGAAGACCUUGCCUGAAUCGCUG
rnacentral:rRNA from 1 species